CCGCGAUGAUGGCAUUUCUUAGGACACCUUUGGAUUAGCCGUGAAAACAGCUUUCAUCUGAGCGGC